rnacentral:RNase_P_RNA from 1 species
CAAACGGGAUAUAACCGCGUUGUUAUAUCUUAAUGAUAAGACUUAACGAUGAGAGAAAGUCCGGGCUCCUUCGGAAAAAAUGCCGGAUAACGACCGGGCACAAACUGGUAGCUGCAGUUCUUUUAUAGUUCUGCAUAGCCCAGUACGUGACAGAUAGUGCAACAGAAAUAUUACCGCCUGUCAGUUUACUGGCAGGUAAGGGUGAAAAGGCAGUGUAAGAGACUACCGCGUAACUGGUAACAGGUACGGCUUGAAAACCUCAUUUGGAGCAAGAUUAAGCAGCAGUUAUGUUUUUCCGAGCAAUACUGCGGGUAAAUCGCUGGAGUUGAAUGGCAACAUUCAAUGCGGAUAGAUGGUUAUUUUUAGACAGAACCCGGCUUAUUGUCCCGUUUGUUUU